rnacentral:rRNA from 1 species
GCUCAGGAUGAACGCUAGCUACAGGCUUAACACAUGCAAGUCGAGGGGUAGCAGGGUAGCAAUACCGCUGACGACCAGCGCACGGGUGAGUAACACGUAUCCAACCUUCCCAUAACUCGGGGAUAGCCUUUCGAAAGAAAGAUUAAUACCCGAUAGUACUUAUAUAAGGCAUCUUAAAUAAGUUAAAGAUUUAUUGGUUAUGGAUGGGGAUGCGUUCCAUUAGAUAGUUGGUGAGGUAACGGCUCACCAAGUCUUCGAUGGAUAGGGGUUCAGAGAGGAAGGUCCCCCACAUUGGUACUGAGACACGGACCAAACUCCUACGGGAGGCAGCAGUGAGGAAUAUU